CGGAGGGGCGAGCGUUAUUCGGAAUUAUUGGGCGUAAAGGGCGCGUAGGCGGCUUGGCAAGUCAAAGGUGAAAUCCCUCGGCUCAACUGAGGAACUGCCUUUGAAACUGCCUGGCUUGAGGCCGGGAGGGGGUAGCGGAAUUCCCAGUGUAGCGGUGAAAUGCGUAGAUAUUGGGAGGAACACCAGUGGCGAAGGCGGCUACCUGGACCGGUUCUGACGCUGAUGCGCGAAAGCGUGGGUAGCAAACAGGAUU
rnacentral:rRNA from 1 species